UAUCAGCUUGCUGAUACCGAUGGCGACCGGCGCACGGGUGAGUAACGCGUAUGUAAUCUACCUGUAACAGAGGGAUAACCCGGAGAAAUCCGGACUAAUACCUCAUAGCACAUAUUAUUCGCAUGAAUUUUAUGUUAAAGAGACUCGGUUACAGAUGAACAUGCGUUCCAUUAGCUGGUUGGCGGGGUCACGGCCCACCAAGGCAACGAUGGAUAGGGGUUCUGAGAGGAAGGUCCCCACACUGGUACUGAGACACGGACCAGACUCC
rnacentral:rRNA from 1 species